AACGAACGCUGGCGGCAGGCUUAACACAUGCAAGUCGAGCGCAUCCUUCGGGGUGAGCGGCAGACGGGUGAGUAACGCGUGGGAACGUACCCUUUCCUACGGAAUAGCUCCGGGAAACUGGAAUUAAUACCGUAUACGCCCUUAGGGGGAAAGAUUUAUCGGGGAAGGAUCGGCCCGCGUUGGAUUAGCUAGUUGGUGGGGUAAAGGCCUACCAAGGCGACGAUCCAUAGCUGGUCUGAGAGGAUGAUCAGCACAUUGGGACUGAGACACGGCCCAAACUCCUACGGGAGGCAGCAGUGGGGAAUAUUGGACAAUGGGCGCAAGCCUGAUCCAGCCAUGCCGCGUGAGUGAUGAAGGCCUUAGGGUUGUAAAGCUCUUUCAGUAGGGAAGAUAAUGACGGUACCUGCAGAAGAAGCCCCGGCUAACUUCGUGCCAGCAGCCGCCGUAA
rnacentral:rRNA from 1 species